GUCGGCCCUGCGGCGCCAGAGACCUGACGCACGGAGCUCGAUAGAGAGAGAACGAGAGAGAAAGGGGCAGACAUGGCGGCUCCGCUCGGCUCCCGCUGAGGACCGCUGAGCGGGCGCAGGGUCUGCGCGGCCGGCCUGCAGCCUCGCUUCCGCCUCCCGCUCCCUGCCUCCUCGCGCCGCCGCCGGCUUCUGCUCCGCUCUAGCCUGUCGGGCCUGCGUCCCGGAGAGGCAACGCGAGCCGGCCCGGCGAGGCUCCGCUGGCCCCUGCCCGCCGGCGGGCCGGCCUUCCUCGCCUCUCCCGGGAGCGGCGGGCGCGGCGUGGACCCGGUCCCCCUGGCUGGACCAUGGUGAACACCCGGAAGAGCUCUCUGCGCCUUCUCGGGUCCAAGUCUCCUGGGCCCGGGCCUGGGCCCGGGGCCGGAGCCGGAGCGGAGCCGGGGGCGACCGGCGGCAGCAGCCAUUUCAUCUCCUCUCGGACCCGCUCCUCUAAGACGCGCGCGGCCAGCUGCCCGGCGGCCAAGGCCGGGGGAAGCGGCGGCGCCCUGGACGAGGCCCGGAGUUGACGGAAGCUUAAGUGAUAGCCACGUAUCUCCUCCAGCCAAACGCACUUUGAAACAGCCGGAUUCUGUUUGCAAAGACAAAUCAAAAUCACGAAGUACUGGUCAGCGAGAAGAAUGGAACAUACCAUCUGGUCAGACCAGGUUAACUUCUCAGCCUGGUGCUACAUUACCAAACGGACAUAGUAGCUUGUCACUUCGAAGCCACCCCCUUCGAGGGGAAAAGAAAGGAGAUGGCGACCUUUCAUGUAUAAAUGGUGACAUAGAAGUCAGAAAAAGUUGUCGGUCCAGGAAAAACAGAUUUGAAAGUGUGAAUCAGAGUUUAUUAUUUGAUCAGCUAGUAAAUAGUACUGCUGAAGCUGUAUUACAAGAAAUGGAUAAUAUUAAUAUCCGACGAAACCGUCGAUCAGGCGAAGUAGAGAGGCUUCGAAUGUGGACAGAUACAGAAUUUGAAAAUAUGGAUAUGUAUUCAAGGGUAAAAAGACGAAGAAAAUCACUGAGAAGAAAUAGUUAUGGGAUACAGAAUCAUCAUGAGGUUUCCACUGAGGGCGAGGAAGAAGAAUCUCAAGAGGAGGAUGGAGACAUAGAGGUUGAAGAGGCAGAAGGAGAAGAAAAUGAUAGACCAUAUAACUUGAGACAAAGAAAAACAGUGGAUCGAUACCAAGCACCGCCUAUAG
rnacentral:lncRNA from 1 species